rnacentral:sRNA from 2 species
GUGUACCACUCGGACACUCCGGUUCCUGCGCGCCGUCCAUACCCACCUGAAGACCGCUUGCCACGUGGUGCCGGCC